ACGUUUUCUUUUACUCUUCCCCUUUAUUUUCCUUCUUUUUCAUUUUAAGUUCAGAAAGCUCCAUUGCUUUUUAUGAUGAUUAGAAACGGAGAAUGAUGAAAAGUCAAUAAAUUUAUAUUUCAACCAGCUUGAAAUUGAGAUAUAGUAAUUUUAUACAAUAUGGUGUAUUUAUGUUGUUCAAGUUAAAAACAAUGUCUAAUCAAAUCGUAUGUCAAUACUCUAAUAACUCAUUUAAUUUGAGGGAUGAGAUGAAAUAAUCUUGGUAUAGAAUUUUCUAUUACUUUAUCACAUAUUUGAUUGGUAUUCUUAAUCAUAUUUAGCUAAUAUUACUGUAAUUUAAUAUGCCAAUUACUGUAUUGUUUUUUAUACACACAAGUGUAUUAUUUUAUAUAUAGACCAUUCCUUAUUUAAAAAAUAAAAACAGUAAGGAGUAAUGGGAUUAAAUUCUUCGAUGAAACUACGAGGGACAUCUAGACCGUGUAAGGGGUUCGAAUCUAUAAGUAGAUUAAAUUCUUUGAUGAAACUAAGAGGGGCAACUAGACUAUGUAGGGGGUUCGAAUCUACAAGGAGAUUAAAUUCUUCGAUGAAACUAAGAGGGGCAGCUAAAUUCUGUAGGGGAUUCAAAUCUAUCUCUUAGAAAGGGUUGAACACUCAUAAGAGUGGGGGUUUAUUUUUCGUCAGGCAAUUCGUCCGUGUCUCCAAGAUACUUGACGACGUUUUCAAUACAUUCGAAAAAAUGAAGUGAAAUUCUUUUUGUAAGGCAAGAAAUCUCUCUUUCUCUCUCUCUCCCCCCAAUCUUCCUUUCUUUUUUCUUCAUUCUCUUCCCCUCCCCCCUUUUUCAAGGUCGCCGACGCCCUUCAGUUCUGAGCCGUGGAGCAUCACCGUAGCCCCUUCAGAUCUUCUAUAGUCCUUCAUCUUUUCUUUAAUGUUUUCUUCUUUUUUCCUUUCCGUAUUUUCAAUUAUUUAAGGUAUCAAAGUCAUCGCCGACUAUCAGAGAAGAAGGGCAUGAGGCACAUGUGCUGACGAAGUUAGCGGCAGCAAAGGUGCGUGGCAAUGCAUGGAAGGUUAAAAAUUGACUUGGAAAGGUGCUCCAACAAUGCUACAACAACCACAACGAUAACCAGGUUUUUCUUUCCAAAGUUGGUACCUCCGGAUGUCAUGUCUUCUCUCUUGUGACUUACAUCAAUUUCUUAGUUUAAUAAAGUACUCGUUUGCAUGUUUGUUUGUAGUGUCAGUUGGUGCCUUUUAGUCUUAGUUUUUAUUCUUGUUGUUUGGACUCCUUGCAUGAUAGAGUGUUAGUGUAAGCAUGGUAUAUUUUAUAUUAUAGUGGUUGCGGUGAAUGACGGUAGAGUAAGUGCAUGCCCUUGGGUGAGGCAGGGGUAGGGGAUAGGGGCUAGGGUGGUGAGGAAGAAAAAGAUCUCUAAACUUAGAUUUGGGUCUUGGAACAUAGGUAAAUUGACGAUAAAAUCUAUAAAGUUAGUGAAGAUUCUCCAAAGAAGAAGAUCAAUAUAGCUUAUGUUCAAGAAAAUAGAUGGAUAGGAACUAAAGUUAAGAUGUAAACAAAUUCAAAGUGUGGUACUUAUGAGGGGUGAGGGGUAAGAAUAGAGUAGGUAUUUGAAUUGAUAGGGAACAUAGGGAGAAAGUGGUCGAGGUUAGGAGGAUGAAUGACAUUUUGAUGGCUAUAAAGAAUGUUGUUGGAGAGCUUACUUUUAACGCAGUUAGUGCUUAUGCACCGAAGCAAGCUUGGACGAAGAGGUAAAAAGGCAAUUCAAGGAUGAGAUUUCAAUAGUCAUGUCAGGUCGACCUCAAAGGGGUAUUAAAAUUUAUAUAGUGGUUUCGGUUUUUGUGAUAGAAAUGAGGGAGGAACUUCAUUGUUGGAUCUUGUAAAAGACUAUGACUUGGUGAUAGCUAACUCGAGUUUUUAGAAGAAGGAGGAGCACUUGUCACCUUCUAGAACACAGUUGCUAAAACCCAUAUUGAUUACAUACUCCUUAGGAAAUGUGAUAGAGGUGUUUGCAAGUACUUCAAGGUUAUCUCAAGUGAGAAUCUCACGACUCAACAUAGACUCUUGAUAAUUGACUUGGAGACUUAAAAGAAGAGGAACAAGAGGGUUUUUCAUUGUCAACCAAAGAUCAAGUGGGAAGCCUUGACUAAGGGUACAUCUUAUAAGUUAGAGACGAGUUGAUGGCUGAUGGGUCUUGGUGAAGUAGUAAGGAUGCGAAUAGUAUAUGGACUAAGACAUUGAAUUGUACAAGAAAAAUAACUAUAGAGGUAUUAGGGAUCUUGAAGGGUUUCUCUGGUAGGCGCAAAGGGGAAUGAUAGUGGAAUAGAGAGGUGCAAGGGAAAGUGGUUUAAGAAGACAAUGUAUUUAAAGUUAUUGGAGAGCAAAGACGGUAAAAAGAAGAGGGUGAAUUGGGAGUAGUAUAAGACACCAAAGAAGAAGGAAAACUUAGUAGUUAUUUGGAAAAAAGUACAACAUUUUGAACGAUUAUAUAAAGAACUUGGGGACAAAGGCGGGGUACAAGAAGCUACACAUGCUAGCUAAGGUGAAAAGGAGAAGAAGACACGUGACCUAAGCUAAGUCAAGUGCAUAAAAUAUUAAGGAAGGUAAAGUAUUGAUGGAAGACUCACAUAUUAUACGAAGAUAGCAAGUAUACUUUCAUAAACUCUUAAAUGUAGAAGGGAUAGGACUAUUAUGCUAGUUGAUUUAGAGGGUAUUGUAGGUAUAUUAAAGUUAAGGAAAUUAAGGGGGUGUGACCACCCAAAUCCCAUAAUAGGUCGGUAUGGCACCCAACGAUGUUCUUAGUCAAGCCAACGAUGAACCUCCAAUUUCCAUUUUAACCUUUAAACAUAGAUAAUUCAUUAGAUAAAUAGAAAUUAAAUAUAGAACUCCCGGAAACAUACGCAUUGUUUUACUAAAAUAACGAGUAUGAAUAGUACAUAAAGCAUGAUAGUAAUAAUAAGUACAAAUGUGAAAGUCUACUAGAAGCCCCCAAAACUCAGUAUCACAAGUGCAUGGCCAAUCUAAAGAAUAUAGAAAAUCACUACAAUUACUGUCUGAAAUGAAAUAGGUAAAAACAUUGAAUAAGAUAGAGGGGGACUUCGGAUUCUGCCAAUUGAAGCAUGGAAGACACUCACCACUAAGUCUCUAUGAUGUGUCUACAUGCCCGUGUGACCAUUGGAAGUACAUGUCUAUGUACCUGGACAAUUAGUGCAGAAGUGUAGUAUGAGUACAUAAAUAAACAUAUACCCAAUAAGUAUCUAGUUUCACUUUGAAUAAGUAGGCGAGAGGUUGACUUGGCAGUUACUAGUGGUCAAAUAAAUAAAUAAAUAGAGUAGACAGGCAUGAAACACAUCAAGUAACAAUAAGAAAAAAAGCUUUAAUAAUUAACUUCCAAAUAAUAGACUCGCUUCCUGUAUUUUGUGUGACAAGAAUGUGGUACCGAAACAUAAAGGUAAGCUAUACAGAGUGGUGGUCCGACCAAAAAUGUUACAUGGGGCUGAGUCUUGGCCAGUCAAGAUCACUCAUGUCCAGAAGAUGAAGGUAGUAGAGAUGAUGAUGUUGAGAUGUACGUGCGGACGCACUACAUUAGAUAGGAUCACAAAUGAGACUAUUCGCGACAAGGUGGGUGUGGCCCUUAUUGAGAACAAGAUGCAAAAAGUGCUGCUUAGGUGGUUUGAUCAUGUGAGGAGGAGGAGCAUAGACGCCCCUGUGAGGAGGUGUGAGAGGUUGACAUUGGAGGGCCUACAUAGAGGUAGAGGUAGACCAAAGAAGAGGUGGGGAGAGGUGAUUAGUCAAGACAUGGUACAACUUUAGCUAACUAAGGACAUGACCAUUGAUAGGAAGGUGUGGAGGUCGAGGAUUAGGAUAGUAGAAUUGGUAGUCUAGAGUGAUUAUAACAGUAGUAUUGGCAUGCAUUCUCGCUUUCUGUUGGUAGUAAGGUUUUAUGACUAACCGUUAUUUUCUUUCAUUGUUGAUCACAUUACUAUCUUAUUGUUUUUAUUCUGCUUUUAUAUGGUAUUUUAGCACUAUACCUUCUUGUCAAUAUUUUUAUUAAUGGGGUGCUUAUGCUUUCCUGAUUCGAUGAUCUGUUAGAAAUAGACUUUCUAUCCUCACAAGGUAGGGGUAAGGUCUACGUACACACUACUUUCCCUAGAUUCUACGGAGUGGCAUAAUACUGGGUAUGUUGUUGUAAUAUACUUCCAAACAUGGAUUAUUUGAAAUCACUAAAAUGUCAUAGCCAGCCUAAAAGGCACAAUAUCAACUUAUAUCAGUACACCAUCAAAUCUAAAGUAUUACAUACGAGUCUGCCAAGGCGAAUGACCUGAUACCAUAGGAAUAGUGAUACAUAAUACAGCCGAGGCGAAUGGCCCAAUACCAUAAGAAUAACUCACUAUACUGUCGAGGCGAACAACCUAAUUCCAUAAGAGUAGUUAUUAAUCCCGCCAAGGCGAAAGACCCGAUCCCAUAAGAGCAAUUAUUACUUCUCAUAAGAUUAAUUAUUAAUCUAGAUAAGGUGAACGACCCAAACCCAUAUGAGUAAAGAAACUCUAUUGCUCAUGAAAAUACACUCGAGUCGACAAGAUACGUAAUUACCAUUCAUCAAAUAUUUCACAAUUUUUAAAAUAAGAGACUCGGUCAAUAUUUUAUUCUAGUCUUAGUAGUAGUAUUAAAUUAAAAAGUCAAAUGCACAAGAUUAAUUCAAAUAGCACAUUUAAAGCAUGAUGUGAAUCUAAGUCUACCCCGACAUAACAUGAAUAUAAUUACAUACUAACUCUUGUCAACUCAUGUGUACGUAGCCCCAUAACAAGUAGUACACAAUAUUUAUACACCUAAAGGAUAAUUGUCUCUUACAAGAUUAGGAACGAGACUUAUUUCUCUUUCAAAUGACUACUCGUCUCUUAAACCUUAUUAGAAAUUCCCAAACAACGCUGAGUAAUCCAAAACUUGUCAAAACUCGUACAAACUAAUCAAUAUAUACUUAAAAUUUCAUAAUCUAUUAGAGUAUCCCAAUCCAAUUCAAGAAGUCCAUGAAAGUCACCACCAGCCGCCGUGAUAUUACAAAAUUAAAUAUAUAAUUUAUUUCCAAUUCCAUAAUCAAUUUUGUGGUCAAGUCUCAUUUUUACCAAAUCCUAGGGUUUCAACAAAAUCCCACAAUUUUCACUAAUUUCCAAGCUAAAGCUACCCAUAAUUCAUGUAUUUAACUCAAAAGCUUGUAGAAUUCACUUACAUUGUGACGCUUGAUGAAAAUAUCCUCAAAAUAGCUCCCCAAAUUCGGCCGUUCUAAGUGAAAAUGAGAUAAAUGAGCUAUGUCUCGUGUAAAAAUUAAGUCAGCCUAGGGAUUCCUUCUCUGCGAUUAUUGAAGGUCCCUUACGAUCAAGAAGGCCAUCUGUUCCACCGAACAAAAAUUACCUUUGCAUUCGGGAUCAGCCGGUUGCUUUCGAGAUAAACAAAUUCUCAACCUUCUGCUUUUGCGAUCCCCUAUUUGUGUUUACGAAGGCCAUCUUCCUUAUAGCCCGGCUCAGCAACUCCUAUAUUCAUUGCUCGCAGCGUGGUCAACGCGUUCUAGAAGAAGUACAAGAUCUUUAGUCAUUUUUGCAAGGAUCAUUUUGCGUUCGCGAAGAGUAAAAUUCGAUACCUCCAUCCUUUCUUCUUCACGAUCACAGGAGAUCCUUCGCAAUCACAAAGCACACUCGUACACCAGUUGUUUCAUCCAAGUUUGACUAUGUUUCGGGUAGUCCAAAACACACCUAACCCACCGGGUACGCUCGUCAAAUGUACCAAUAAGUUCAUAAACAUACUACGCACUUGAUCAAGCCUCAAAACAUAUAAAAUAAAACCAAAACUAAGAAUCGCACCUCAAAACCAAAGUAAUAAACAUCUAAACUUCAAACUCAUUUCAUCUAACUCCGAACAUGACGAACCCUACAUAGACAACUCACAAUGAUGCUGAAUUUUACCCACAAGUAAAAAAUUACAAUAUGAACCUAUUCCAAGGCUCAGAUUCUCAAACGGAUUUGGUACCACCAAAUUCCACUUCAAAUCAAAAUUUCGGAAAUUAUAAAUCCUUUAAAAUGCCAACUUUCAACAAUAAGUUCUUAAAUGCUCCUGGUCCACCCAAAACUCAAUCAAAACAUACACCUAAGUCCAAAAUUACCAUAUGAACCUAUUAGAACCUUCAAAUAUUAAUUUCGAGGUCGUUUACUCAAGUCUAACUUGGCCAUCAUAGGCUACUAUUAUGGAACUAAGUAUUCCAAUUUCUACCAAAUCCCUUCCAAAACAAAAUCAACCAUCCCCAUAAGUCGUAAAAAAGUAAAAACAUAUACUCGAAGUCUUAAAUAGGGGAACAUGUAUCUAGAAAGUAAAAUGACCGAUUGGGUCGUUACGUUCUCCACCUCUUAAUCAAAUGUUGGUCCUCGAUUGGGUCUAGAAUCAUACUUGGAAGGCCGAAUAAGUGUGAAUAUCUACUCAGCAUGUCCUCCUCGGUUUCCCAAGUUGUCUCCCUGACUAGUUGACCAAUACACUAACCCUUUACUGCUUAAAUCUUCUUGGACCUCAACUUGCUGUCACACCCCAACCUAGGUAAGGCGUGGCUGGCACACGGUGAUGUACUGGCUCGAGCGAACCACUCUCAUACUUUUGAAUGAUAGACAUAACCCAGAACAUAUAUAGGCCAACAUGGACAAACUCUAUCAUUCUAUAAGCCAUUGUGGCCAACAUGACCCCAAACUCAUAAUAUAUCGUAAAAGGCCAAGCAUCAUACCCGCUAGCCAUCAUACUAAAAAGAUAAAUGCAUGUUUGGGCCGAGGAGGCCACUAUUAGUGUCAAUACUGGACAACCCAGAAAGAAAACAUAAAUGAGGCUGAUGAAAAGUACUUCGGCCAUUUCAUGAGAUCAUAGGCUCUAUACGUGAUUUCUACUCGUUAGCCAUUUACAAUUUACCAUUAAACAAAAACAAUAUUUCUCAUCGUAGAAUUGACAUAAGUUCCCUGACGUAUCUACUUAAUUCUAGGAAUUAUCCGUGGAUUACUACUAUGAGUAACUGAUUUAUCAUCUAUAUUCAAUUUUGAACUAUUAGAGGUUCUUAAUACGUCAACAAAGAACAUAUGCCAGGACUCGUCCCCUUGAACCUCUUAUAAGGGUGAUGUCAUUACAUAAUCAUAUUGGAAGAAGAUAGAGAAAGCCUCACAUUCGUUUAAGUCGAUCCUUCGACGAAGAUGGUGGGUAUGUAUCCUCUUCAAUAUAAUCUACAUCAAUUAAAAUAGCACUACCAUCAACAAUAGUAACACAUCAACUAGCUGACAUGCGACGAGCUUGUUCAAAGACAAAUUGGACAGCAUCUCCCAUGUUUCUUUCACCUCCCUCAAGGUCACAACAUCAACAAUAACAAGCCACCCUUAGUCCAUAUAUCCAUCACCUUAACAACACGAGAAUAACCCAAAAAUACAAUAUAACAACAACAACAAUAGGUCCAACAUUAAGCUUAUGAAUAGCUAGCUUACAAUACAUUGUGAGACAAGGCCGGUCUUUGAUUAACAACAAAAUACUAAUCUACACUUUUUCUCUUCAAGCUACACAUUAACAACAACAACAAUACAAUACAAUACAUUAACUCACACAACAACAACAUCAUAAAAACACCUCAAAACAGUUUAACAUGGUAUCACCACUUCUAUAUGUCUUUUGACUAUUAACUCACAACUUCUAGCUUCAAAAAACUUAGCUAGGGCUUAGAUAUGAUCAAACUCAUAUAGGAGAAGAAGGAGAAACCUUUUAACAGAAAGAAAAAAUCCUAGAACAACAUUACUUAAGCUUUAAGAACUCACAACACAUCAACAAUAUAAUAUAAGUGAUCUUUACCACUUCUACAACACUUUUUAAUGAAGAACUUAGGUGGUUUUGCCUUGGAUUUGUCUAUAAAUCUUUAGGAUAUUCUUAGAGAGAUUUUACAGGUGGUUGAAGGUUUGAUUUGGUCGAAAAUGAGAUAUAGAGAGGAAAGCUAGCACUUUAUAUAUCAAUGUAAGCUUCCAGCAAUUUUGUGGGUCCCAAGAAGCUGCUUGCGUAGUCUUGAGAAAACGUAUAUAUCUCUCUAUUACGGCAUUGGAUCGACAAACAGUUUAGGGCAUUAUAAAGUGGACGCGUAUAUCUUCAAUUUAAUGGGUGUAUCAUACUAUAAAUUGAAUUAUAUAUAGAUAAAAUCUCAGUGAAUUCGACCCAAAUUUAGGUCAAAUUAUAAAUGUAACCUGCGACAACAUUUACCGUGUUUAAUUUUACAACGUGUUUGACAUAAAAAAAUAAACAUAUGAAUAUUAUAUGAUUCAAUUGCCUUAAAAAUGACCUCCUUCAAAUAUUAAGAACUCCUAGUUUACCAUGAAAGUUUAGGUUAUAACAUCUUUCAUUCGCUUAACCUCUAACCCUCACGAUACCUUCAUAACACUUGUUUAACCCAUCAUUAUCUUCCCAAAGGUCCUUAAGCUCUCUGGAUUAUAUUGAUUCACUUAAGUGAAUUGUAGAAUAUAAGUAUAGGUGUUACACUUGCAAACCUACCUGUCAAUAAUGGCAACUGGAUCCGCCUUAUAACCCAAUCUCUCAUCAAGCUGCAUUGUAUCGUAAUCUAACACACGUGACCUAUUAGCAUGGUACCUCUGGAACAUAGACACGUGGAAUAUCGGAUGAACACUAAAUAGAAUAAGAUGCAAAGCAAGCCUGUAUGCAACCUGUCUAAAUCACUCCAAACCAUAAAUAGACCAAUAAACCUAGGACUCAGCUUGUCUCUCUUUAUGAACCUCAUGAUACCCUUCAUCAGCAAGACCUUCAAGAGAACUUUCUCGCCCACGAUAAAUGAUAAAUCACACACCUUCUAAUCCACGUAACUCUUCUAUUUGGAUUGUGUUGUGCGAAGUCACUCCUAAAUCACUUUUACCUUAUCAUUUAUCAAAUCAGUACCAUAUAACCUAGCCUCGCCGGGCUCAAACAACCCGAUAAGGAAACGACAUUGCCGACUAUACAAUGCCUCAAAUGGAGCCGUCUCGAUGUUAGACUUAUAACUUUUUUUAUAAGAAAAAUCAACCAAGUAAGAAUCGAUCCCACUGCUCUCUGCAGUCGAUCACAUAUACUUUGAACAUAUCCUCUAGAAUCUGGACCGUUUACUCUGACUACUCAUCGGCAUGCAAAUGAAAUGCUGUGUUGAGCUAUUCCCGGGUACCAACUCACUGUAUACAGCUCUUCAGAAAUAUGAAGCGUACUAAGUGCCUCUAUUUGAAAUGAUAGAAAUAGGCACUCCAUGCAAUAAUACGAUCUGCUAAAUAUAAAUCCAGGCCAACCUCUAUGAAGUGAAAGUAGUUACCACCGGAAUACAGUGUGUAGACUUUGUUAGUCGGUCGACAAUGAUCAAAAUAACAUAAAAUUUCCUCAAUGUUCACAACAUACAAACCAUGAAAUACAUAGUGAUGUGCUCCCACUCCUACUUUAUUCUAACCAUAUGGUGAAGUAGGCCACCGGGCCUCUAGUUCUACCACUUAAGCUACUGGCAAUUAAGACAGCUAGCCACAUACUCAACUAUGUCCUUCUUCAUCCAGAGUCAGUAAUGCUGCCUCAGGGGACGAUAAAUCUUCGUGCCACCUAUAUGAAUAGAAUAAAGCAAAUUAGUGCCUCCUCUAGAAUCGUCUCCCUCAAGCCAUCAACACUAGUUACACAUAAUGAACCUGGAGUUUCAGAACACCAUCAUCACCAAUAGUAACCUCCUUUGCAUCACCUUGUAGCCCUAUCUCUCUAGGGACCUACAAGUAUGGAUCAUCAAAAUGACAAGACUUGAUCAGCUUAAAUAUAGAAAAAUGAGCAACAACACAUGAAAGAAAUCGACUGGGCUCUGAAAUAUCCAACUUCACAAGUCGGUUAGCUAAUGGCUGGGUGUCCAAAGCCAAUGGCCUCUCCUAUGCUGAAAUUAAUGCCAAACUACCCAUACUCUAAGGCUUUCAGCUCAAGGAAUCCACGACCACAUUCUCCUUGCCCGGAUAAUAGAGGAUGGUAAUAUCAUAAUCCUUCCAUAACUUAAGCCACCUACGCUACCUCAUAUUAAGAUACCUCUGCUUAAAAAAAUGUUGCAAAAUGCGGUGAUAAGUUUAAACCCCACAUGACACCCUAUAAAGAUAAGGCCUUUAGAUCUUAAGGGCAUAAUAUAUUGUAACAAACAUAAAGUGUGUAAAAGAUAAUUCUUAUCAUGAGGCUUUAGUUGACGCGAAACAUAUGCAAUAACUCGCUCUUCAUGCAUUAAUACACAACCAAAACCAAUGCACAAAGAGUCACAAUACACAUUAUACAUCCCUAAACUGGAGGGAAAAACCAAAACUGGUGUUAUAGUCAAUGGAGUCUUGAGAUUCAGAAAGCUCGUCUCGCAAUAGUUGGACCAUUUAAACUGAGCACCUUUUUGGGUCAAUAUAGUCAAAGGAGAUGCAAUAGAUGAGAAACCCUCCACAAACUAGCUAUAAUAACCUACUAGCCCUAAGAAACUCCUACUCUUGAUUGUUGUAUUAGGACGAGGCCUGCCUCGGUCUUCUUGGGAUCCAGCAACCUACUACAAUUUUCCCCAAGAGAGUCAUAGAAUCUAAUUAUAACUCACACCUAGAGAACUUUGCAUAUAGCUUUUGUUCCCGUAAGGUCUGGCGCAUCAACCUCAAAUGUUGCUUGUGCUCCUCCAUACUAAGUGAGUAGAUAAAUAUGUCAUCAAUAAAGAGAAUGGCAAAUGAACCAAGAUAUGCCUUGAAUACCUGAUUCAUCAAAUCCAUAAACACCACUCGGGAGUUAGUCAAGCUGAAGAACAUCACUAGAAACUUAUAAUGCCUAUAUCUAGUUAGGAAAGCCAUCUUUAGAAUAUCUGACACUUGAAGAUUCAACUAAUGAUACCUAGAUGUCAAGUUGAUGUUUAAAUACAAUCUAGCAUCCUAUAGAUGAUCAAACAAAUCAGAAAUGCGCGACAACGAGUACUUAUUGUUGACGGAGACUUUGUUCAGCUAGUAAUAAUCAAUGUACAUCCACAUACUCCCAUCCUUCUUCUUCACAAAUAAUACUGGAGCAUCCCAGGCGAUAACUUGGCCAGAUGAACCUCUUCUCGAGCAACUCCUGAAGCAAUUUAGAGACAUGCAAUAAGGCAAAGUAGAGAUAGGCUGGGUGCCUGGAACCAAAUCAUUGUUGAAAUUGAUAUCCUGAUCCGGUGGCAUACCUCGUAAAUCAAAAUAAAAUACGUCGGAAAACUCAUAUACCACAUGCACUGAAUCUAUCGUGGGACUCUCUAUAGUGGUAUCCUCAAAAAAAGCUAGACAACCCUUCUCGACCAUAUGUCGAUCCUUCAGGAAAUAAUUAACCUAACUAGAAGUACCAAUAGAUGAAACCCUUCACUCCAAUCUAGAAACUGAGGAAUCGCCAAGGCAAUAGUCUUGACAUGGCAAUCGAGAAUGGCAUGGUUAGGAGAAAACCAAUACAUGCCCAGUAUAACCUCAAAAUCAAUUAUAUCAAGCAAUUGCAGAUAUGCCUUGUGCUCAUAACCACAGAAACUCACUACACAAGACCGGUAAACUAAAUCCACAAUAAUUGAAUCACCCACAGGCAUGUACACAUAUAAAGGACCACCCAUGGACUUACGAGAUACAUCUAGAUAAGUAGAAAAUAGAGAAGAAACCUAGUCAUAAGUGGGCCUUGGAUAAAAUAAUAUUGAACAUCUUUAUGGUAGAUAGAAAUAGUACUUGUGAUUAUUGUAUCGGAGGUGACUACCUUAGGCCUGGAUGGAAAAACAUAGAAUCUAGAUGGAGGGCCACCUGAUAGGACUCCACCUCAAGGGAGACCCUUAGCCGGGCAGGAGGGUAGUGCAGUAAUUAUAGGAUGAUGUUCCUGCCGCAAUGCCUUGCCCCGAAGCCUAGGAAAAAACAUCUUCACGUGGCCUGUGAGCACGUGAUUUUUGCCUCAUUAAAAUUACUCAUACAGAAUUCCCUGAAUUAGGAAUUAUCCUUUUUAUUAUUCAAUUUUUAGGAUUUAAUCGUGCAUAUUUGUGAGUAUUUUCAUUGGUGCAUUCAUGAUAAAUCAUAAAAAAUAGAACAAAAAAUUACACAAGCAUUUAGGAUUUGGUUGUUACAUAACUUUUGUUAGAAUUAAUUAGUAAUUAGGUUUUUGUCCUGCAAAACAUAAAAAUUACAAAGAAGACUUUGAUUUAUGUUAAUUUUUCUCUUAAAUAAUAGCAGUUAAUUGUGACUUAAUAGUUUUGAAUAACUUUACGGGUUUAAUUAUAGUCAAAUUUUGAAAAUUAAUUAAAUUGAUAAUUGAAUAAUAGGUAAAAAAGAAACUUUUUUUUUUUAAAAAAAAAGAUGAAUCAGGCUGGCCGCAAUUGGGUCAAAUCUGGAUGGCCCAAACACCCAUACCCAUCCAAAUCACAAAAAAAAUCGGCCCAACCCGUCUCUGACCCGGUCAGUCAUUAGAGACGCCCCAAAACGACGUCGUUUUGGGUCUAGUAAUAUCAACCAUUCAUCUUCUAUCAUCUAACGGCCCAGGCUUGAUCUCAUUUUUAGAAUAAAAGUGUCCGAAAUCAUGUCAAACCCUAGAGACCAAAUGCCCUCUCCUCGUAACUUCGUCUCUAUUGAUACGCCGCCUCACAGCCGCCGGUCGGAAAUCGUCGCCGCCGACGGCGACUCUCCAAUGCCUCCCAAAAAUGCACCCAUGGACCACUAUUCCCUCCUCUUUCCAUUGCCUAAAAAACAAACUUCAACUAUAAGCAAAACGUUUUGAAUAUAGAGAUUUGUGGAUGCUGCCUCCGCCGCCCACAGCAGCGUCACCACCUGAACCCUCCAAAAAUAAUACCCUAGGUCCCUCACUCCAUCCCCAUAACGGAUCCAUCUCCAAUUUCUUUCAAACAUUAGUUAAUUGCUUCAAAUAUUCAUCCAAAGCUCCGACCAACUCAUCAACUUCUCCAGAAUCCUUUGAAACUGACACCACGCAAUCCCCUCACAUCCCUUUCCACAAAUCCAUAACCAGCGACCCUCGAAUACAACCGGUCCUUGUCAAAAAUCAAAUCUAAAACUGACUUGAAGCCCAAACCCACCCAAUCUUACACCGGAUAGCCUCCUCCUCUCAAAUGAUUGCUCAGCAUCUCUCAAAUGGCAAAAGAUCCUCUCAAAUUUGAAAUCAAAGAUGGCCGGAAACCCUUAUGAUUCAAAGGUCAUGGGUUUUGGGGUUGUGCGAUUCUUUAAACUAAGUUCCUUGUUUCUUUUUGUCUUCUUUCAUUUUUUGGGAUUGUAUGUCUGUUCUACUUGCUUAUGUAUAAUAAUCUUCUGGUAGGAAUUUUGUUUUAUUCAAAAUUAUGUGCCUCUGUUUAAUGUCUUUGAUAUUCCGCUUUGAAUGAUUCCCUAUCGAUUGGAUUUCUAGAUGUUUCUUGUUUAGAUUAAGUCAUUCUAUAAUUUAGGCUAGCUACAAUUGUUCAUCCUUUCCCUGGUGUUACCUUUUCUCUUCGUUUCAGUUGAUUAAUAUUCGUUUAUGAUAAACGUUGUGGUUGCUUUUGAAUUUUUUGUUGGUUAGCUUUGUUUUGCCUUUGAUUAAUUCAGUCUCGCGUUCUUGGUACUAGUCUAAAUCUACCUGUAUAUAUGUGUUUCAUUGACUUGUUAAUGAUUCCUCAUGGUUACUGAUCAACUUUGAUAAUUUUUUUUUGUUUUGGUUCUAGUAGUAUAUUUAGUGUUGGUUAAAUUGAAUAGUUAGCCAGCUCAUCUUAUUAAGGUUUAACCCAAUUGAUAAUGAGAUUAUGGUUUGGUUUAUGGUUUAUGGCCCUGAGUAGUUAACUAUGGUCAACUUCUGACCAAAUUGAUAGGAACCAGGAUGGAAAUAUUUAGGUUAAGUAAUUAAAAAGAAGAGACAGGGGUAAUGGGGGUAUUUGGGCAUAGGAAUCUUGCAACAAACCCAUGGAACCUUCUAGUUGGAGGUUCAAAGACCAAUUUUUGGUAAUUCUCUAAUACAAUUUGAGGCACAAGCAAGAAAAUAAGGGACUAAUCAAGCAAUUCUAAGAAAUAGGGAAGGGACUAAUGAGAAAACACAAAAAAAAGAUAUGUCCUAAGGCUUUGGCUAUAAAAAUGCAUCGUAUUGCUUUGAAAAAGAAGAAGAAGUAUGGAGACCAUCUGGAAAAUCCCUGGAAAUAUUCCAAGCUCUCCUAUUCUAAAACUCCUAGCAAUAUUUCCUAAACUUCCAGAUCAUUAGAAUUAUAGCUGUGAAGAUAAUUUGAGGCAUGUGUGUUUAGAGUGUAGAGCUUUGGGAACUAUCCUGCGUAUUGAUCUCAAGCUGAAUUAUGUUUUGUUUAAGCUGUAUGAGUUGAAUUUGUUGGUGUUGUUGGUUUUUUUUGAAACUUUCCUGGGUUUCCUGAUACUAUUUCUGCGUUUAUAACUGGUCGAUCUGUUGUUGUUAUUGCUUCUUGCUUCCAUUACUCAUAGGUGCUUUUUUCUUUGAUGUAAUUCCAGGUACACACACAUGAACGUGCUUUGAUGUAAACAUGAUAAGCAUCCCAUGCAUUCUUCCUUUGAGCUGAACCUGCUCAGCCUUCAAUAAUGUAGAACCAAGUAGUAUUAAACGACUUGUGAUAUCUGAUGUAUCUUAAUUCGAUUUACAUUUGCAAAAUUGAAAUUAUGUAAUAUAUAACACUUGGACUAUGCUGGACUAUUGCGAAUCACUUGAACUGUUCAAUUUCAAAUUAUUUUAAAUUUUAGUAGGGUUAAAUAUGGUACUCAAUAUUCUGCU
rnacentral:lncRNA from 1 species